CUCUUAAAGAAUAUUAAUUUUAAGUAAAACCUGCUCAAUGAAUUUAUUUCAAUAGCCGCAGUUAAUCUGUGCUAAGGUAGCAUAAUAAUUAGCUUUUUAAUUAAAAGAUAGAAUGAAUGGUUAAACGAUAAAAAACUAUUUCAUAUUCAUAAAUAAAAUUAAUUUCAAAGUUAAAAAGCUUCAAUAAAAAAACGGGACGACAAGACCCUGAUAAACUUAUAAUAUUUAGUUGGGGUAACAAUAUAAUUAUUAUUUAUUACAAAACCAACCCAUAACUUAACAAACAAAAAUCGAAUAGUUACUACAGGGAUAACAGCGCAAUCUCUUUUAAAAGAUCUAAUUUAAAAAGAAUAUUACGACCUCGAUGUUGAAUUAAUUUUCCUGUACGGCGCAAAAGCUAUAACAAGUUAGUCUGUUCGACUAAUAAUAAAUU
rnacentral:rRNA from 1 species